GACAGCGACCAUGACUCCACCUGGGGCCUGGGCCCUGGCCAGAGAGGCUUCAGGUAUCACCAUCCGUGAACAAACAAGCAGCUUCCCUACCACAUCCAUACAGUCGUCAGAGAAGGUAUCAGCAUCCGUGAACAAACAAGCAGCUUCCCUACCACAUCCAUACAGUCGUCAGAGAAGGUAAGGCAUCUUUCUUUUGUGACAGUCCAAGGACCGCUCUACUAUAUUUCCAUUGAACAAGGUGUCCAUUCAAAGCUAGUAGCUUCCUUAACACCAAGUAAAAGCAGUACAGUUAAAUUCCGGUGACACUGCCAGUGGCCCCUUAUUUUGCCUCAGACAUACCAUUUUCAACCACAUUCUGAUUGCCUAGUUUCCUUCCUCAAGAUUGUGGUUUUCAGCCAUUUGUGAUUCCUACAUUGAUUGAUCUGUUUAUUUUUGUGUUUAAUUUUAACUUUGGUUAUUUGACUUUAUA